CCGCUGGCCCGGAAAAAGAACCCGCAGCCCAGAGUCCCCUUCUGGCGCACCUGCGGGGCUUGGUUCCCAUUUGUUUCUAGGGGCCUGACUUUCCGGGGGAUGUCUGCCCAAUUCAAGGAGCACCCGCAGAGCACCUGCAUCUUAGGGAAGAACGCACAGUUUUGUAGGUGCUUUGGGCAGGAGGGUUCAUCCAGUUCCUGUUACCUCAACCUGCCAGAAGUGGAGGAAGUCUCCACAAUUUUUUAAAAAUUUGUUUUCAUCCAGGAAGCACCAGAAAGAAGCCCAACCGCUGGUACCUGGCUGUCCUCGCAGGACUCCAGACCCUCCUGGUUCCCGGUGGGAGAGUCCCUGCUCUUCCCGGGCUGUGGUGGGAGGACCCCUGCUGCCCCCGAGCCACAGGCUCCUCUUCUGGUCACCGCAUCCCAGGGUCAGCUGGUCCAGGAAGCCUGUCCCGCCACCGCUCUCCAAGCUGCUCCCUGCCCAAGCCAGGACGCAGGGCACCGUCCUCACCUGUCAUGAAGAGUUAACCUCGCCUGGAGAGAGGGCUGGCUUUUGCCCCCGGCUCCUGGGGGCUUAUUCCUAGACUCCCAGAAUGCCCUGCCUGAUAGGAGUGUCUUUGCUGGGGCUCUGGCCCCCAGACCACUGAACAGUGUGACUUACGGUGAUUUGUGCGGAAGAGGAGCGGGGCCAGACGUCGGUGACGGCGGCACGGGCGGAGCUCAGGCCCCUGCGCGGUGGCUCCCGUCUAAGCUCAGCUCAGCGCAGAUCUGUGCAGGGAGACUGGGCGCUUUAAGGGGAGGAAGGGGCAGUAAGCGGGCGGGGCGAGCAGAGGUUCAAGCAGAGUCCGGACAGUGGGAAGUGACGGAAAGUGGGCAGGGGAGCUCUUUCACGGGAACUGUGGGGCCAGAGUGCGUCUCAAGCAGCAAAUGAUUUCGGCUGUCUUGAGCCUCCCCAGGUAGGGACUUCAGGCUUGGUCAUCCAGGAGACGAGGCCUCGGCGGUUAGACAGCGGCUGGCAUUUGCUCCAGUCUCUUAGUGGGUGCGGGGGUGGAUGAAAUCCUUCAUGCUGAGUCUGCAGUUUCCCGAGGCCAAGGUUAAGGCCUAGUGGACAAGAGGGCUCAGAGGAGUGUGUCUGAAGUUUAGCCAAGGUGUUUGUCAAGGUUUGGGGGCAGGUGUAGCCCUCCCUCUAGGAGAGGCCAGAGGGCAAAGGUCGGCUGUCGGGCAGUGGGUGCUGGAGCCCCAGCAGAAGCCCCGGACACUGGAGUGUGGGUGAGCCUCCCUGUUGGUGAUACUCCACGCGUGGUGUCACCCGCGGGACUCCGUGGGAGGGGACAGCAGAGUCUCCACGCGUGGAACCCUCCUGGACCUGCCCAUGUGCCAGUUCCUGUGGCUGACUUGAUGUCAGAAACCAGAAUAGUGAGCACAACAGUCCUCGGUGGGUUCUGUGAGUCCUUCCAGCCAAUGGCCAGACGUGAGAGAGGCUUGGGGACUCUCCCCAGUGCGGUGUCAGAAGUGAGGGUGUCCUUGUGAGGCCUGUCCCCUCUGACCUUGCAGUCGGGUGGCUCUCACAGCUGGCCUACACUCCUCAUGUCUGCACAGCCGGGCGCCCCAUCCUUGUAGGGCAGGCGGUAAGGCUGGGAGCACAGCCACUGCUCUGAGGCCCUACGGCUGGAGCCUGGUGACCACCCGACCACUCUGGAUGUGUUACUGGGUCCAAACUCCAUCUGCUCACCACACCACAGGCCAAUGAAUCGGAAGGCGAGGUGUUGGGGCAAGGAAUAAUGACUUUAUUCGAAAAGCCUGCAAACAGAGAAGAUGGCAGACUCAUGUCCUGGAGAACCAUCUUCCCCAAGUCAGAAUUCAGGCUCCUUUUAUACUAAAAAAAGGGGGGGGGGUUAUGGUUGGUUGUUGCAAACUUUUUGGUGUUGGAAUCCUUUGUUCUUGCAGCCGUCCAUGUGGGUCAGGUCAUGGUGUCCCUGUAAACCUCCAACAAGACAAAUGUUAUUCUC